UCCUGCUCUCACGAGAGAGAAGUCAGCACAGAUCCUUGUCGAUCCCUGCGUGACACUGUAGGAUUGGGUUCCUGAGCACGCCUGGCUGGUCGGGGGAGUCCCAACCGGUAUAAACAGCAGCCUGCCUCAGGCCCAGACUGAGUUUUCUCUCCUUUGACAUCCAAUCAGCUCUUCCACAUGGUGACAUCCCCGCUGGGUGAGCUGUGGUUGCUUCUCACAUCGCUUCCAUACUGGUGAACAGAGCGAUUAUUUGCAGGACCAAGUGACCCCCUAGACUACAUCCUACUACACAACCUGCCUUCCCUAGACUCUGCCCUGCUGGAUGGACAGGGGAGGACAAAACCCUGCAUUAGCGGGGUCCGUAAUUUUGAGAUUGGGAAA